CCUGGUUUUCUACUGAACUCACAAGUUCAUUUCCUCACUAUCACUUUGUCUAAACAGGAACGAUGAUCACACUCUUUGUCGCGCUUUACUCUCUUUUUUCUCUCUGCACAGCUGGAAAAACUUCUGACAUCAAGGAGCUUCAUGUGAAAACAGUAAAGCGUGGAGAAAAUGUAACUAUGGAGUGUAGCAUGAGCAAGGUCAAAAACAAUAAUAAUUUAGCUUGGUACAGACAGAGUUUUGGAAAAGUGCCUCAUUAUUUUGUAAGACGUUACGGGCAAAGUUACACAUUUGCAGAGGGAUUUAAAGAUAGCCGCUUCAGUAUGACUGUAAAUGACCAGAAGUUUGAUCUCAACAUUAUCGGAACGAGAGAAGAUGAUGGAGGAGAAUAUUUCUGUGGAGAAGUGGAGGGAAUUAUAAUAAAGUUCACAUCUGGAACACGUCUGCAAUUUGAAGGUGAAGAGAUGAAACACUGUCCUACACCUGGAACGGUUAACAACAACACAGAUUCUGUUACACGGUCCAAUGAGGGUUCAAAGAGCAGUGAUGGAGAAGGUUCCAGUUGUACUGAUCAGAUGCAUGUGCUGGUCUGGCUCUCCAUUUUUAGAGUUGGAGUUCUUGCCUUCAUGCUUAUUUUUACAAUAAUUAUUUUUAAAUGAAGAUCAAAUUAAAAAUUCAAGGCUCAGGUAAAAAAUACUGACAAUUUUGUUAAUUGCUUUGAUUUUCUACCUAGAUUUAUUUUAUUUAGUUCAAAACUGAAGAAAUAUAAUGAAUAUUAAAUGUCUUACUCCUUUUGUUUUACCAGAUUUUUGUAUAUUGUACAUCUUGGUCUGUGAUUUUGUUUAAGUUUUGUGGAAUAAACACAGAGCAUUUUUCCUUUAAUAAAUUUGUGAUAAGAAAAAAGUCUCAGACAUUUCAUUCCCAUGUAGAGCUGCAGUGAAUGAAUGGAGUGAAUGAAUACAAAUGGAA